rnacentral:rRNA from 1 species
AGAGUUUGAUCCUGGCUCAGAUUGAACGCUGGCGGCAUGCCUUACACAUGCAAGUCGAACGGCAGCACGAGAGCUUGCUCUUGGUGGCGAGUGGCGAACGGGUGAGUAAUAUAUCGGAACGUACCCUAGAGUGGGGGAUAACGUAGCGAAAGUUACGCUAAUACCGCAUACGAUCUACGGAUGAAAGUGGGGGAUCGCAAGACCUCAUGCUCAUGGAGCGGCCGAUAUCUGAUUAGCUAGCUGGUGGGGUAAAAGCUCACCAAGGCGACGAUCAGUAGCUGGUCUGAGAGGACGACCAGCCACACUGGAACUGAGACACGGUCCAGACUCCUACGGGAGGCAGCAGUGGGGAAUUUUGGACAAUGGGCGCAAGCCUGAUCCAGCAAUGCCGCGUGAGUGAAGAAGGCCUUCGGGUUGUAAAGCUCUUUUGUCAGGGAAGAAACGGUGGACUCUAAUACAGAUCACUAAUGACGGUACCUGAAGAAUAAGCACCGGCUAACUACGUGCCAGCAGCCGCGGUAAUACGUAGGGUGCAAGCGUUAAUCGGAAUUACUGGGCGUAAAGCGUGCGCAGGCGGUUGUGCAAGACAGAUGUGAAAUCCCCGGGCUCAACCUGGGAAUUGCAUUUGUGACUGCACGGCUAGAGUGUGUCAGAGGGGGGUAGAAUUCCACGUGUAGCAGUGAAAUGCGUAGAGAUGUGGAGGAAUACCGAUGGCGAAGGCAGCCCCCUGGGAUAACACUGACGCUCAUGCACGAAAGCGUGGGGAGCAAACAGGAUUAGAUACCCUGGUAGUCCACGCCCUAAACGAUGUCUACUAGUUGUCGGGUCUUAAUUGACUUGGUAACGCAGCUAACGCGUGAAGUAGACCGCCUGGGGAGUACGGUCGCAAGAUUAAAACUCAAAGGAAUUGACGGGGACCCGCACAAGCGGUGGAUGAUGUGGAUUAAUUCGAUGCAACGCGAAAAACCUUACCUACCCUUGACAUGUCUGGAAUCCUUGAGAGAUCAGGGAGUGCUCGAAAGAGAAUCAGAACACAGGUGCUGCAUGGCUGUCGUCAGCUCGUGUCGUGAGAUGUUGGGUUAAGUCCCGCAACGAGCGCAACCCUUGUCAUUAGUUGCUACGAAAGGGCACUCUAAUGAGACUGCCGGUGACAAACCGGAGGAAGGUGGGGAUGACGUCAAGUCCUCAUGGCCCUUAUGGGUAGGGCUUCACACGUCAUACAAUGGUACAUACAGAGGGCCGCCAACCCGCGAGGGGGAGCUAAUCCCAGAAAGUGUAUCGUAGUCCGGAUUGUAGUCUGCAACUCGACUACAUGAAGUUGGAAUCGCUAGUAAUCGCGGAUCAGCAUGUCGCGGUGAAUACGUUCCCGGGUCUUGUACACACCGCCCGUCACACCAUGGGAGCGGGUUUCACCAGAAGUGGGUAGCCUAACCGCAAGGAGGGCGCUCACCACGGUGGGAUUCGUGACUGGGGUGAAGUCGUAACAAGGUA